rfam:Ornithorhynchus anatinus chromosome 2, whole genome shotgun sequence.
UAUCUCUCAGGGUUGCACCUGGAGAGUUUCCAGUACCCUACCAGUCUCGACUACGAGAGGGAGAAUCGAGCAGAGGCAUAUCCAUUCCAUUCCUAGCUUGGGCAGCGGCUAGCGCGUGGAAGGCCAUCCGCUACAAGU